rnacentral:lncRNA from 1 species
AUGCUCGAGCCCACGGGCCCAACUCCUGAGAUCCCAUCUGGAAGCUGCUGAUCACCAGUUUCAAGUGUUUCUGUUUAUUGGGAGACUGCCUUCCUCUGGCACUGGCAGUGACCAAUUAUUAUUUUAGAGAGAUUGUUAACUGCCUGCUCAUCACCUGAUGAAUAUCAGGAAUGUGGCCUGACAUUCCUGGUACACGGAGCGCCUUCUUUUCGUUUAGAGCAUUGGUGGCUCCACAUUAGAAGCAUCCUAUGUAGCUGUUCUGGCUGCAGCUGCCCAAGUCUGCCUGGGCCUCCUGCAUGAGGUCACGAGUCUUAAUAAAGCCACUGACCCACACAUUUGGAAUCGUACUGACUUUUCACAACUAACAGCCAACACAUUGCCAAGAAGCAAUUCAAUUGUUGAGGAUAUCACAUCAUGCCAGGGAAAGAGAGAUGGAAUUCAGAAAGCCUGGGAUAUUGCAGUUCAGAUGAAUUGCACUUGGUCAACGGAAAUGUCCUAAGGGCAUUGCAGCUGCAGCUGGAGAAUGAAGAAGACAUAAAAUUAGGGCUUUUGUCACUGUCGCUUGAUUUCAUUAAAGGG